GGCUUAAUACAUGCAAGUCGUGGGGCAGCAUGAGUGUAGCAAUACACUUGAUGGCGACCGGCAAACGGGUGCGGAACACGUACUGAACCUUCCUUUAAGUGGGGAAUAGCCCAGAGAAAUUUGGAUUAAUACCCCGUAACAUAUAGAAGUGGCAUCACUUUUAUAUUAUAGCAGCAAUGCGCUUGAAGAUGGCAGUGCGGCUGAUUAGGUAGUUGGCGGGGUAACGGCCCACCAAGCCUGCGAUCAGUAACUGGUGUGAGAGCACGACCAGUCACACGGGCACUGAGACACGGGCCCGACUCCUACGGGAGGCAGCAGUAAGGAAUAUUGGUCAAUGGACGCAAGUCUGAACCAGCCAUGCCGCGUGGAGGAUGAAGGUCCUCUGGAUUGUAAACUUC
rnacentral:rRNA from 1 species